rnacentral:rRNA from 1 species
GCAAGUAUCCGCGCUCCAGUGUAGAAGCCCUAGGUACCCUGAUCCAGGUCGAUAGGAGCGGGCAUCAGGCACACCACAACCGUAGCCCAAGACGCCUUGCAAUUGCCACGCCCCCACGGGUCCUCAGCAGUAAUUAAUAUUAAGCCAUGAGCGAAAACUUGACUUAGUCAUAGCAAUUUAGGGUCGGUAAAUCCUGUGCCAGCCACCGCGGUCAGACAGGAGACCCAAAUCAACUUUACUAACGGCGUAAAGUGUGGUAACAUGCUAUCCAAGUAACUAAGAUUAAAAAGCAACUGAGCUGUCAUAAGCCAAAGAUGCUCAUAAGGCCACUAUUCAAAGAAAAUCUUAGACUAACGAUUAAUUGAAAUCCACGAAAGCCAGGGCCCAAACUGGGAUUAGAUACCCCACUAUGCCUGGCCCUAAAUCUUGAUGCUCGAUCUUACCGGAGCAUCCGCCUGAGAACUACGAGCGCAAACGCUUAAAACUCUAAGGACUUGGCGGUGUCCCAAACCCACCUAGAGGAGCCUGUUCUGUAAUCGAUGAUCCACGAUCUACCUGACCAUUCCUUGCCAAGAUCAGCCUAUAUACCGCCGUCGCCAGCCCACCCAACCUGAAGGCCCAACAGUGGACGCAAUAGCCCUAACACGCUAAUAAGACAGGUCAAGGUAUAGCCUAUGGAAUGGGAGCAAUGGGCUACAUUUUCUAAGAUAGAACAUUACGGCAAAGGGAUAUGAAACUGUCCCUGGAAGGAGGAUUUAGCAGUAAAGAGGGAGAAUCGAGCCCUCUUUAAGCCGGCUCUGGGGCACGUACAUACCGCCCGUCACCCUCCUCAAAAGCGA